rnacentral:rRNA from 1 species
GGGUCUCUUCGGAGGCCAGCGGCGGACGGGUGAGGAACACGUGGGUAAUCUGCCUUUCAGGCCGGAAUAACGCCCGGAAACGGGCGCUAAUGCCGGAUACGCCCGCGAGGAGGCAUCUUCUUGCGGGGGAAGGCCCAAUUGGGCCGCUGAGAGAGGAGCCCGCGGCGCAUUAGCUAGUUGGCGGGGUAACGGCCCACCAAGGCGACGAUGCGUAGCCGACCUGAGAGGGUGACCGGCCACACUGGGACUGAGACACGGCCCAGACUCCUACGGGAGGCAGCAGUAGGGAAUCUUCCGCAAUGGGCGCAAGCCUGACGGAGCAACGCCGCGUGAGCGAAGAAGGCCUUCGGGUUGUAAAGCUCUGUUGCUCGGGGAGAGCGGCAUGGGGGAUGGAAAGCCCCAUGCGAGACGGUACCGAGUGAGGAAGCCCCGGCUAACUACGUGCCAGCAGCCGCGGUAAAACGUAGGGGGCGAGCGUUGUCCGGAAUCACUGGGCGUAAAGGGUGCGUAGGCGGUCGAGCAAGUCUGGAGUGAAAGUCCAUGGCUCAACCAUGGGAUGGCUUUGGAAACUGCUUGACUUGAGUGCUGGAGAGGCAAGGGGAAUUCCACGUGUAGCGGUGAAAUGCGUAGAGAUGUGGAGGAAUACCAGUGGCGAAGGCGCCUUGCUGGACAGUGACUGACGCUGAGGCACGAA